rnacentral:lncRNA from 1 species
GUUUCACCAUGAGAGGUGAUGAAGCUCACCUCAAGCUUCACCAUUUCUAUGGUCUUGAUCUCAAAAGAAGCAAAAGAAAAGCUUCAAAUACUCAAAUGGUUCCAUAAAAUCCAUUUUAAGCUUAAUCCAAACCCUAAAUUAGGUUCUACCAUAAUUAGGGUUCAAAGCUUACCUUGUAAGCUCUCCUUUUCCAAGCUAGAGAUGAGGGAGAGGGAGUUUCUUCACUUCCUCUUCUUCUUCUCCUUUUUCUUCUCCUUCUUUUCCUCUCUUUCCUUGUCUUCUU